UCAGCCGCCGCGGUAAUACGUAGGGAGCGAGCGUUGUCCGAAUUUACUGGGCGUAAAGCGCGCGUAGGCGGGUUCUUAAGUUGGGGGUGAAAUGCCGAGGCUUAACCUCGGAACUGCCUCCAAAACUGGGAGCCUUGAGGUAUGGAGAGGGAAGUGGAAUUCCUGGUGUAGCGGUGAAAUGCGUAGAUAUCAGGAGGAACACCCGUGGCGAAGGCGGCUUCCUGGCCAUAUCCUGACGCUGAGGUGCGAAAGCUAGGGGAGCGAACGGGAUUAGAUACCCCGGUAGUCCUAGCCGUAAACGAUGGAUACUAGGUGUUAGAGGUAUCGACCCCUCUAGUGCCGGAGCUAACGCAUUAAGUAUCCCGCCUGGGGAGUACGACCGCAAGGUUGAAACUUAAAGGAAUUGGCGGGGGA
rnacentral:rRNA from 1 species